UACAGAGGUCCCGAGCGUUGUUCGGAUUCACUGGGCGUAAAGGGCGCGUAGGCGGGUCUUUAAGUCAGGGGUGAAAUCCUGGAGCUCAACUCCAGAACUGCCUUUGAUACUGAGGAUCUUGAGUUCGGGAGAGGUGAGUGGAACUGCGAGUGUAGAGGUGAAAUUCGUAGAUAUUCGCAAGAACACCAGUGGCGAAGGCGGCUCACUGGCCCGAUACUGACGCUGAGGCACGAAAGCGUGGGGAGCAAACAGG
rnacentral:rRNA from 1 species